rnacentral:rRNA from 1 species
AGAUUGAACGCUGGCGGCAUGCCUAACACAUGCAAGUCGAACGGGAGUAGCAAUACUCUAGUGGCGGACGGGUGAGGAAUACGUAGGAAUUUGCCCUUAAGUGGGGGAUAACCCGGGGAAACCCGGAUUAAUACCGCAUGACCUCGAAAGAGCAAAGUGGGGGAUCGCAAGACCUCACGCUUUUGGAGAAGCCUACGUCGGAUUAGCUAGUUGGUGAGGUAAUGGCUCACCAAGGCGACGAUCCGUAACUGGUCUGAGAGGAUGAUCAGUCACACCGGAACUGAGACGACGGUCCGGACUCCUACGGGAGCAGCAGUGGGAAUACUUGGACAAUGGGCGCAAGCCUGAUCCAGCAAUCGCCGACGUGUGUGAAGAAGCCGUUCGGUUGUAAGUCACGUUUAAGUUAGGGAAGAAAAAC